UACGGGGGGGGGCAAGCGUUGUUCGGAAUUACUGGGCGUAAAGGGCUCGUAGGCGGCCAACUAAGUCGGAUGUGAAAUCCCCAGGCUUAACCUGGGAACUGCAUCCGAUACUGGAUGGCUUGAAUCCGGGAGAGGGAUGCAGAAUUCCAGGUGUAGCGGUGAAAUGCGUAGAUAUCUGGAGGAAUACCGGUGGCGAAGGCGGCAUCCUGGACCGGCAU
rnacentral:rRNA from 1 species